CCUACGUGAGGCUGCAGUGGGGAAAAUUGCACAAUGGGGGAAACCCUGAUGCAGCGACGCCGCGUGAGUGAAGAAGUAAUUCGUUAUGUAAAGCUCUAUCAGCAGGGAAGAAAAUGACGGUACCUGAGUAAGAAGCCCCGGCUAACUACGUGCCAGCAGCCGCGGUAAUACGUAGGGGGCAAGCGUUAUCCGGAUUUACUGGGUGUAAAGGGAGCGUAGACGGCAGUGCAAGUCUGGAGUGAAAGGCGGGGGCUCAACCCCCGGACUGCUCUGGAAACUGUACGGCUGGAGUGCAGGAGAGGUAAGUGGAAUUCCUAGUGUAGCGGUGAAAUGCGUAGAUAUUAGGAGGAACACCAGUGGCGAAGGCGGCUUACUGGACUGUAACUGACGUUGAGGCUCGAAAGCGUGGGGAGCAAACAGGAUUAGAUACCCUAGUAGUC
rnacentral:rRNA from 1 species